GUUUCCCUGAUCACUGUGCUGUCGGAGCCUUCUCCCAUGUCUCUGGGAGCUGCCAGCUUUUGUCUUCAGCCCUCAGAAGGUGCAGCUGUCCAGGCUUAUUCCGGAGGGCGCCAGUUGAAUACAGAGCCUACCCAUGGGCCGGAGGAACCGUGCUAUUUGGCACGCCGCCCUUGCCUGGGGGCCAGCCCCUCCGAGCCCGGAUGGAAGUGACGUUAGAAAGCCCUGUGUCCGCCCCAGUGAGUCCAGAGUCCUCCCAGGUCAGCAGAAGGAGCCGGAUGCAGGACCUCCUCACUGAGCAUCGCUGUAGCCAGGGCCUUUGCAUGCAUCACCUUCGUGACCCACAGUGACCCAGUGAGCCAGUCCCGUUACCAUCCCAUUCCACAGGUGAGGAUACUGAGGCCUGGUGAAGAGGGAGGUGUGGAUGGAACGCGUCCCCCCGGCUCUGAGACCCGGAGGCCGGAGGAUUUGAUAGAGCAGGCGCUCUCACCAGCAUUCCCUGCAGCUGUAGGGACCUCACUCUUAUGGCCAACGGAGACAGUCUCAAAGCGCCUUCUCCCUCAUGGACCAAGAUCUCAGGGCCACCGCUGGUCCUCCAAGAGCUCUCAGCCUCCAAGGGUGAAGUCAUCAUGAGACCGGAAAGGCAUUUCUCAGGUGGGAAAAUCCCUUGUUCUGCAGAUGGAAAUGUUAAGUGCUGGGAUUCUGUUGCCCUGGGAGACAGGGUUAUCUCCUUAACUGUUUAGGACCAGGCCGGAAGCCAAUGGUGAGGCUUGAAAUGUCCGCCUGGGAGACGCGCGGGCAGGGUUGGAGGGCCAGGUAGGUGGCUGGAGGGGAUGAUGCAUCAGGAGGCAAGGAGGCUGCAGGGCCCACCUGGCACCACUGAGGCACCUCACCUCUGCAGAGAGUGGGCUCAGCCUGGCCCAGCUAGCACAUCCGGGAUCUCCGAGAGGGCUGAUCCCACAGCCUCCCUACAGAUGGGGAACACGGGCCGGCAGGGUCA